AAAGCGUCUGCAGGUGGUUUCUUAAGUCUGCUGUUAAAUCUUGAGGCUCAACCUCAAAUCUGCAGUAGAAACUAGGAGACUUGAGUAUAGUAGGGGUAGAGGGAAUUUCCAGUGGAGCGGUGAAAUGCGUAGAUAUUGGAAAGAACACCGAUGGCGAAGGCACUCUACUGGGCUAUUACUGACACUCAGAGACGAAAGCUAGGGGAGCAAAUGGGAUUAGAUACCCCAGUAGUCCUAGCCGUAAACGAUGGAUACUCGAUGUUGGACGUAUCGACCCGUUCAGUAUCUUAGCUAACGCGUUAAGUAUCCCGCCUGGGGAGUACGCUCGCAAGAGUGAAACUCAAAGGAAUUGACGGGGGCCCGCACAAGCGGUGGAGGAUGUGGUCUAAUUCGAUGCAACGCGAAGAACCUUACCAGGGUUUGCUAGAAGUGUUGGUUUCCUGAAAAGGAUUCCUUAUUCCGCUUCUACAGGUGGUGCAUGGCUGUCGUCAGCUCGUGUCGUGAGAUAUUGGGUUAAGUCCCGCAACGAGCGCAACCCUUAUUUUUAGUUCUAUUGUCUAGAAAGACUGCCGGUGACAAACCGGAGGAAGGUGAGGACGACGUCAAGUCAUCAUGCCCCUUACACCCUGGGCUACACACGUCCUACAAUGGGUAAGACAAUAAGUUGCAAAUCUGCGAGGAUAAGCUAAUCUUUGAAACUUACUCCAAGUACAGAUUGCAGGCUGCAACUCGCCUGCAUGAAGGUGGAAUCGCUAG
rnacentral:rRNA from 1 species